rnacentral:rRNA from 1 species
CCCGCUCAGAAACUUAAAGGAAUUGACGGGGGCCCGCACAAGCGGAGGAACAUGUGGUUUAAUUCGAUGAUACGCGAGGAACCUUACCCGGGCUUGAAAUGCAUCUGACCGGCCUUGAAAGAGGCACUCCCCUUUCGGGGCAGAUGUGUAGGUGCUGCAUGGUUGUCGUCAGCUCGUGCCGUGAGGUGUCGGCUUAAGUGCCAUAACGAGCGCAACCCUCAUCAUUAGUUACCAUCAGGUAAGGCUGGGGACUCUAAUGAGACUGCCAUCGUAAGAUGUGAGGAAGGUGGGGAUGACGUCAAAUCAGCACGGCCCUUACGUCCGGGGCGACACACGUGUUACAAUGGCCGGUACAAAGGGCAGCUACCUGGUGACAGGAUGCUAAUCUCAAAAGCCGGUCUCAGUUCGGAUCGGAGUCUGCAACCCGACUCCGUGAAGCUGAAAUCGCUAGUAAUCGCGCAUCAGCCAUGGCGCGGUGAAUACGUUCCCGGGCCUU